rnacentral:other from 1 species
GGAAGUCUGCGGUGUACGGAGUCCGGAAAAACGUAAUCCACGUCAUAUAUAAGGGAGUUUACGUUCGGGCGGAUAGGCAAGGUCUGUUUCAACCCACGGUCUGAUGCGGUUGUGUUACAACGGAAAGCCCGACGUCGUCCGACGGGGCACCCACCUGCGAGAAUGCGGGUUUCACCUUUUCGGGGUGCGGCACAGGCGGAUUUUCA